ACUUCCUUGGCAGAAUAGUGCGUUAAAUUUAGAAUUUAAAAUAUAUAAAUAGAUUGUAGGUAGUA
rnacentral:tRNA from 1 species